GAGGGUAUGGCUCAAGUGGCAGAGUGCAUGCUUAGCAUGCAGGAGGUCCUGGGUUCAAUCCCCAGUACCUCCU
rnacentral:tRNA from 1 species